AGCGCAGGCGGGAAGGCAAGUUGGAAGUGAAAUCCAUGGGCUCAACCCAUGAACUGCUUUCAAAACUGUUUUUCUUGAGUAGUGCAGAGGUAGGCGGAAUUCCCGGUGUAGCGGUGGAAUGCGUAGAUAUCGGGAGGAACACCAGUGGCGAAGGCGGCCUACUGGGCACCAACUGACGCUGAGGCUCGAAAGUGUGGGAGCAAAC
rnacentral:rRNA from 1 species